GACGAACGCUGGCGGCGUGCUUAACACAUGCAAGUCGAACGGAAAGGCCCUGCUUUUGUGGGGUGCUCGAGUGGCGAGCGGGUGAGUAACACGUGAGUAACCUGCCCUUGACUUUGGGAUAACUUCAGGAAACUGGGGCUAAUACCGGAUAGGAGCUCCUGCUGCAUGGUGGGGGUUGGAAAGUUUCGGCGGUUGGGGCUGGACUCGCGGCUUAUCAGCUUGUUGGUGGGGUAGUGGCUUACCAAGGCUUUGACGGGUAGCCGGCCUGAGAGGGUGACCGGCCACAUUGGGACUGAGAUACGGCCCAGACUCCUACGGGAGGCAGCAGUGGGGAAUAUUGCACAAUGGGCGGAAGCCUGAUGCAGCAACGCCGCGUGCGGGAUGACGGCCUUCGGGUUGUAAACCGCUUUCGCCUGUGACGAAGCGUGAGUGACGGUAAUGGGUAAAGAAGCACCGGCUAACUACGUG
rnacentral:rRNA from 1 species